UUUCCUCCCGAGUGCUUGCACUCAAUUGGAAAGAGGAGUGGCGGACGGGUGAGUAACACGUGGGUAACCUACCCAUCAGAGGGGGAUAACACUUGGAAACAGGUGCUAAUACCGCAUAACAGUUUAUGCCGCAUGGCAUAAGAGUGAAAGGCGCUUUCGGGUGUCGCUGAUGGAUGGACCCGCGGUGCAUUAGCUAGUUGGUGAGGUAACGGCUCACCAAGGCCACGAUGCAUAGCCGACCUGAGAGGGUGAUCGGCCACACUGGGACUGAGACACGGCCCAGACUCCUACGGGAGGCAGCAGUAGGGAAUCUUCGGCAAUGGACGAAAGUCUGACCGAGCAACGCCGCGUGAGUGAAGAAGGUUUUCGGAUCGUAAAACUCUGUUGUUAGAGAAGAACAAGGACGUUAGUAACUGAACGUCCCCUGACGGUAUCUAACCAGAAAGCCACGGCUAACUACGUGCCAGCAGCCGCGGUAAUACGUAGGUGGCAAGCGUUGUCCGGAUUUAUUGGGCGUAAAGCGAGCGCAGGCGGUUUCUUAAGUCUGAUGUGAAAGCCCCCGGCUCAACCGGGGAGGGUCAUUGGAAACUGGGAGACUUGAGUGCAGAAGAGGAGAGUGGAAUUCCAUGUGUAGCGGUGAAAUGCG
rnacentral:rRNA from 1 species